rnacentral:rRNA from 1 species
CUCGUAGGCGGCUUGUCGCGUCUGCUGUGAAAUCCUGGGGCUUAACUCUGGGCGUGCAGUGGGUACGGGCAGGCUAGAGUGCGGUAGGGGUGAUUGGAAUUCCUGGUGUAGCGGUGGAAUGCGCAGAUAUCAGGAGGAACACCGAUGGCGAAGGCAGGUCACUGGGCCGUUACUGACGCUGAGGAAGCGAAAGCAUGGGGAGCGAACA